UACGUAGGGUGCGAGCGUUUGUCCGGAAUUACUGGGCGUAAAGAGUUCGUAGGCGGUUUGUCGCGUCGUUCGUGAAAAACUUGGGGCUUAACUCCAAGCGUGCGGGCGAUACGGGCAGACUUGAGUACUACAGGGGAGACUGGAAUUCCUGGUGUAGCGGUGAAAUGCGCAGAUAUCAGGAGGAACACCGGUGGCGAAGGCGGGUCUCUGGGUAGUAACUGACGCUGAGGAACGAAAGCGUGGGUAGCGAACAGG
rnacentral:rRNA from 1 species